rnacentral:lncRNA from 1 species
AAUAAAAGAAGCACAACAACAUGCAGACGGUCGACAAAAAGGUUACGUGAAAGGUUACCGGUUCAAAUCCCACCAGGAGUCCGGACUGUAGCGCCUCUAAUGACAGUUUUGCUCAAGUACCACUUUUUCGCGAUUACAAACAUCCAGCAACGGAAAAGUCUAAAAUUGUAAGCAGUGCAAAUCCCUUCAGCUUGAAGCAUCUAAUAAAGUAAAUAAUAUUUGGGGGGGAGAGGAAAGGGAGGACAUGAUCUUCCUGCCGACACUGUCCUGUUUGGAGCACCAGGGAGGUGCGUUGAGCAGCCGACCGAUGGGUGAAACACGGCGACCUUGAAGGGUUCCUCUACGUAGCCUGCCUCCGAUGCCCAACAGUCAGAACAUCCAGAUGUGAAUUUCCCUUUUCCGAGACGAGAAGGCCAAUUCCUCCCACGGCUGAUCUCAACGGUCCCAGAUAACGUGUUGUUCUUUCACUGUGGGAGGAACGCUAGAACAUCUCCGUUAGGAGAUCGUUGCGUCUCCAGCCGAAAGCCGCUGAUGUUCUCGCACAGCUGACAGAAGAAAAGGUUGGAAAGCCGAAAGCAAUUUACUGUUAUUUAGAAGAAAAAGUGUCCAAGACAUGAUACAUUUAUGAUGUGGUGUUCCAGAAAACAUCUGCGUGACAGUUACCUCUUGGUUCUUAUUGCGUCCUGAAACAUUUAUCGCGGCGCGGAUGAGCUACGCAAGAAGCUUCUUUCGGCCUCGUUCUUACUCUUCAAAACCUGACAGGCCUCAGCUGCGUGCCGCAUCUCCUCUUCGGUCUGGAACGUCAUCAUCUUGCCCGUAUCUCAUAAUUCGUGUGGUUGACGGAGCUCGGGUUCCUGGAUGUGCUGGAGCAGUUUUACGGCUAUUUGUGCUGCGCCUCCGAAAACCACGCGCUGGCUGCGGUGCUGCGACGUCCACGUGAGUUUCGGGCGGCAGGUGGCGUAGUGGUUCGAGCGACGAUCUUGCCUUCGUAAACCUGCUGGAGCAAGGUACCGCUUACCCUGGACUGGUACAGUACUGGUAAAUUUCCCUGCUGUGUAAACUGGGC